CAACAGAGGGAUGCAAAACCGCGAGGUGGAGCGAACCCCUAAAAGCCGUCCCAGUUCAGAUCGCAGUCUGCAACCCGACUGCGUGAAGUCGGAAUCGCUAGUAAUCGCGGAUCAGCAUGCCGCGGUGAAUACGUUCCCGGGCCUUGUACACACCGCCCGUCACACCAUGAGAGUCGGGAACACCCGAAGUCCGUAGCCUAACCGCAAGGGGGGCGCGGCCGAAGGUGGGUUCGAUAAUUGGGGUGAAGUCGUAACAAGGUACC
rnacentral:rRNA from 1 species